GGAGGAGAUGCGAUAUUUCUUGGUUCUCAUCACGGCUGCAUGGCGCUGGAUGUUGCCGUGGAUGACGUGGGAGGCGUUGGGCGUCUGGUCCAGGUAGGACACCAGGGCGGGGGGGUUCACAAACUCGUCGUCGUCCCCUAGAGGAG